AUUGAACGCUUGCGGCAGGCCUAACACAUGCAAGUCGAACGAGUGGCGGACGGGUGAGUAAUGUUUGGGACACUGACUGAUGGAGGGGGAUAACUACUGGAAACCGUAGCUAAUACCGCUUACCAUCUGCUGUUCCCAGAUGGGAUAAUCUAGUUGGUGGGGUAACGGCUCACCAAGGCGACGAUCCCUAGCUGGUCUGAGAGGAUGACCAGCCCCAAUGGAACUGAGAAACGGUCCAGACUCCUACGGGGGGCAGCAGUGGGGAAUAUUGAGCAAUGGGCGCAAGCCUAGUGCAGCCAUGCCGCGUGUAUGAAGAAGGCCUUCGGGUUGUAAAGUACUUUCAGCGAGGAGGCGUUACCCGCAGAGGAAGGACAGGCUAACUCCGUGCCAGCAGCCGCGGUAAUAC
rnacentral:rRNA from 1 species